rnacentral:lncRNA from 1 species
ACGCACCAUCACUCUCCCUCCCUUACCAGCGUACACAGCACACAAUUCGUGACUCACUACUCAAAAAAUCACACACACAAGGACAGAGGAAUAGAGGCCAAAAAUGGGAAAAGAAAAAUCCGAGAGUGAGAGAAAUCGCAUGAGAGAGGUGAAAGUAGUGAAACAAAGGGGACCCUAUCAUUUGGAUUGAGUUUUCCGGCGAGCUUAUCUCCGGAGUC